UUAUAUUUUUAUAUAUAGCUUAUGAUGGGACUAAUGCUAUAUAUGUAUUGCAAUUAUGAGCUCUGUUAAUCUGUUAUCUUCUGUAAGUCAAACUCAUUAUCACUGGAACACAUUUAACUUAAUUUUACUCUAUUUUCCCUUAGACACUGUCUUUGCUAGUUGAUGCAAAUCUUGGAAAACUUGGCACCAAAUAGUAAUCGAUGAGUACUUUCAUAGGGAAUCCUUAAAGUGAUUUCUUCAAGGUAAAGAUAUUCUUAGCUUUGAGCUCAACGUGAAGUUGAACUUUAGUUGAGCAGGCGCACGCAGCGCUUAAGCUUGUACCUUUGUCUUGUUCUGUGUUCCUGGACUUAAGAUUGAAACUUGGGACAUCUCAUGGGGUUCUUUAGGUUAUUUGGAUGAUGCUCUAAACUUGGCCUUGCUUGCAUAUAUGUAAUUAUGAUCUCUUGUGCGUGCUGGACUGCUGGUUAGUGGCAUUUUAUUCUUAAGAUAGAGAAUUUCUGCAUUAACUGAUAAUUACUCUCAAGAACUGUUUAGAAAGUAGCAGAAGUUGUCAAAUGCCAAAUGCAUUUCUUGGUUGACCUUAUGAUUAUGAUAAUGGUUGAAUGGGAAAAGCUAUUUGCCGCUCACUCUUCUAUCUUGAAGCUGGAAAAACCUCGGCUAUCGAGGGCAGUUUUGUUUUUAGACUCAAGUAACUCUGCCUAUCUACCUGCAUGUUCUCUUUGAUGUACUAAAUUAACCUAGAGCUUGUGUUGCUUUGACUCUCCACUCUCCAAAAAUGCU
rnacentral:lncRNA from 1 species